rnacentral:rRNA from 1 species
ACAAAAACAUGUCUCUUUGAUUAUUUAAUAUAAAGAGUUUGACCUGCCCGGUGAUAAUUGAUUUAACGGCCGCAGUACUUUGACUGUGCGAAGGUAGCAUAAUUAUUUGCUUUAUAAUUGAAGGCUUGUAUGAAUGGUUUGACGAGAAUUGAUCUGUCUUAAUUUAAUUUUUUAGAAUUUAACUUUUAAGUGAAGAGGCUUUCAUAUUAUUGAUAGACAAGAAGACCCUGUCGAGCUUGAAUUUUUAAUUUAAUGUGUUAUUAUUAUUUGUAGGUUUUAGUUGGGGUGACUAAGGAAUAGUAUGAGUUUCCUUGUAUGUUUAAAAUUUAUUAAUUUUGAUCCAUUAUUGUUAUGAUUAGUAGAAUUAGUUACCGCAGGGAUAACAGCAUAAUCUUUUUUGAGAGUUCAUAUCGAAAAAUGGGUUUGUGACCUCGAUGUUGGAUUAAAAUUUCCUAAAGGUGUAGAAGUUUUUAAGGGUUAGUCUGUUCGACUAUUAAAAUUUUACAUGAGCUGAG